rnacentral:rRNA from 1 species
CAGCCGCCGCGGUAAUACGUAGGGUGCGAGCGUUAAUCGGAAUUACUGGGCGUAAAGCGUGCGCAGGCGGUUGUGUAAGACAGGUGUGAAAUCCCCGGGCUUAACCUGGGAACUGCGCUCGUGACUGCACAGCUAGGGUAUGGCAGAGGGGGGUGGAAUUCCACGUGUAGCAGUGAAAUGCGUAGAGAUGUGGAGGAACACCGAUGGCGAAGGCAGCCCCCUGGGCCAAUACUGACGCUCAUGCACGUAAGCGUGGGGAGCAAACAGGAUUAGAUACCCCUGUAGUCCCUGUCUCUUAUAC